rnacentral:rRNA from 1 species
AACCAACAGGGAUUGCCUCAGUAACGGCGAGUGAAGCGGCAACAGCUCAAAUUUGUAAUCUGGCCUCUUCGGGGUCCGAGUUGUAAUUUGCAGAGGAUGUUUCGGGGGCGGCGCCGGUCGAAGUCCCUUGGAACAGGGUGUCACAGAGGGUGAGAAUCCCGUACGUGGCCGGCAACCAGCCCCCAGGUGAAACUCCUUCGACGAGUCGAGUUGUUUGGGAAUGCAGCUCAAAAUGGGUGGUAAAUUUCAUCUAAAGCUAAAUACCGGCCAGAGACCGAUAGCGCACAAGUAGAGUGAUCGAAAGAUGAAAAGCACUUUGGAAAGAGAGUCAAACAGUACGUGAAAUUGUUGAAAGGGAAGCGCUUGCGACCAGACCUGCCCGUGGGUGCUCAGCGGCGGUUCUCCGCCGUGCACUCGCCCACGAUCAGGCCAGCAUCAGUUCCGGCGACCGGAUAAAGGCCUGAGGAAUGUGGCUCCCCUCGGGGAGUGUUAUAGCCUCGGGUGUCAUGCGGCCAGCUGGGACUGAGGACCGCGCUUCGGCAAGGAUGCUGGCGUAAUGGUCGUAAGCGACCCGUCUUGAAACACGGACCAAGGAGUGUAACAUUUAUGCGAGUGUUUGGGUGUCAAACCCAUGCGCGCAAUGAAAGUGAACGAUGGUCAGAGCCCUCUGGGUGCAUGAUCGACCGAUCUUGAAGUUUACGGAUGGAUUUGAGUAUGAGCAUAAAUGUCACGACCCGAAAGAUGGUGAUCUAUGCUUGAAUAGGGUGAAGCCAGAGGAAACUCUGGUGGAGGCUCGCAGCGGUUCUGACGUGCAAAUCGAUCGUCAAAUUUGGGCAUAGGGGCGAAAGACUAAUCGAACCAUUGAAAACAAGCUACUAGGUGGUUAAUUGGGGUCCACGGACCGUCAGCCUUUCGAGGCGACGAUGCUAAAUGCAUGGUGUUGAUUCAACAUGCAGCGGGCGCUUUAUCGCCCGUACACUGACCAAACAGCAUCGGCCGCGUGGGCAUUGCGCCCCCCGGUUUUGACAUGGCCGAGUCCCUCCUGGCAGGAGGGUAUGAACG